rnacentral:lncRNA from 13 species
UACUGACCAAAGGGUAAAGCAAUACCUUUUCGGUGUCACAGUUUCCUUUCUAAAGGGAACUCAUAUAUUUGGGCCUCUUCCCAGAUACAACACUAAAAUCUCUUGGUUUUUCCCAUACCAUGCUCCACUUCGUUAAAAGGGACAUGAAAAGGUUUUCUUGAUCAACCAGCGUUUAUCAAAUGUUUUUGGUUCACCACACACCUAGAAAAGAGGAACUUCGCUGAUUUCUCUCACCUGACUGCAACCUAUUACACAGAUCUUGGAAGACUAAUAUCUCAGCCUGUCUGAGUGGAAGGUGAAAAGUCAGUAGCAAACUAUUUUGGAAACCAGAGAAAAAAAUACUUCGGAAAGAAAAUACAAUCAAUAUUUUCAAAUGCCAUAAAACAGUUUUCUGGUAAGUAUUAAAAGCAGCCAUUAGAUAUAAUACUAAAAGGGGAUUAGCAGCCUUAUAAAGAACCGUUUCAAUAUUGUGCUGGGAGGAAGAAAUGAUCUGUAGAACAGUGAAAUUAAAGUAGAUUCAGUAAUAAUUUAGUUGUGAAAUACUCCAGACAGUGAUACAGAGAAAGACAAAAAUAUCCAAGUAUCAACCAAAUAGAGUGAAAAGAAGCAAUAGACACAGAAAGAUGAAGGAAUAAAAAGGGUAUGGUUUUUUUUUCA